UUAAUUGAAGCCAAAAAGAGGCAUAUUAUUGUUAAUAAUAAAAUUGAAUUAAUAUUUCCAAUUAAA
rnacentral:tRNA from 1 species